rnacentral:rRNA from 1 species
ACGGUGGCGGGCGUGCCUACACAUGCAAGUCGCACGUCCUGUCUGGUUUCGGCCAGGCAGGGAGUGGCGGACGCGUGAGUAACACGUGGGUGACCUACCCUGUGGUGAGGAAUACCGGCGAGAAAUCGCCGACAAGACCGCAUACGCUCUCGCAAGAGAGCAAAGCUGCUGACGCAAGUCAGUAGCGCCAGAGGAUGGGCCUGCGGCCGAUUAGCUGGUUGGUGAGGUAAGGGCUCACCAAGGCGACGAUCGGUAGCUGGUCUGAGAGGACGAUCAGCCACACUGGGAUUGAGAACGGCCCAGACUCCUACGGGGGGCAGCAGUGAGGAAUUUUCCGCAAUGGACGCAAGUCUGACGGAGCAACGCCGCGUGCAGGACG